AAAGCUCGGCCAAACGGGCAUGUGAUUUCUCAAACUAUUCUAACAGCCCUUUCAUUGCCGAUUUUAGAGCCGCUGUUUAUCCAUAGGGAGAUUUGCACAAAUAGGAUCGUUUCUUCAAUGCAGUAUGCCUUUUCUUUUUCUUUCUUUAACGUUUCCACCGGAGCAUUUAAUGAUGCCGGUGGCGGCGGUGGAAGUGGUGGUGGUGAGUAUAAUCGACGUGCUUAAAAGACGCGAUGAUGAUUUUAACUUUAAUUCCUUUCUGAGCUUACUAAUUAAUCGGGGCAUUUUGAGAUAAUCCGACCCGUAUCUUGGCGGGGCAUGCUCCCGGUGGGUUUUGCAGCCAUGGCGUCCCCGGACACUCUUGUUGCCUGAUCGUAAACACAUAUCUGAGCCUCAAUUUCACUCCCUUUUCCGGCAUAAUCGAGUUGUAUGUAUUUUUGCUCAAAAGCCCUAAUCCUGUUUUUUCCCCAACCUUUUGCAAAGGUGGAAUUUGAACAUGAGAAAUUUUCAGAAACCACUAUGUUUUAGUGAUUAUUAGCUUGCUAUAUCAACCUUUGCUACAGGAGGUAAAAUUUCUUCCAAAUAUUGGUUUCAGUUCGACCCGAUUUAGAUAAGGCCCAAUUGAUUAGGGCACAAUAUAUAAGAAGUGGCGAUAACAUGAAAAUAGCAAAAAUAUCAUUAGUUUAAGUCUGAGGCAGCGGUGAAAGCAGAGAGCUGUAGGGAGUUUCAAUGGGUGGUUUUGCUCCUCUCUGUCAUUCUCCUCUGCCAAUGAUCACUCAAAUGAAAAUUUUCCGAUUGCAAAACCACCCUAGGUUGAUUGAUUUAUUACUCCCUCUGUUCAAAUUUAUUAGAGGCUAUGAAGAUUGUUGUUUGUGAAAAAGACAGACUUAUAAAUCUAUUGAGCUGGAAAAACUGUAUCUUGGCAUGGCAGCUCAAAUAUGUCUAUGAGAUACAACAACAACAACAACAUAUACGCAGACCUCACCCUACCUUGUGAGUCUAUGAGAUAUUGGAGAAAAUCCAUUUCUUGGGUGUUUUAUCCUGUCUCAUAAGACUAACUUAUGCUUGCAGCCAUGGCAGUUUUUUCCAAAGCUUUUUGGGUUUUGUCUGAGAAAAGGCGAAUCUGAGCCUACCCCAUUGCUAUUGAUUUUGGUUUUUGCUUUUUGCUUUUUUCUCUGCUACUUGAUGACAUAGGAAACAAUCCGAGCUCAUACCUCAAUUUAACUUUUGGUUCACUUUUGAGACUGUAACUCUUGGAGAAGCAUUGUGGAAAUAAUUCUUAGCUUGAAGGAGCUCUGCAGUUGGUGUUACAAGUUAAAAGCUAAAAUCAUAGACCUUUACAAGGAAGGCAAUACAUUUAUGAGGAAGUAAGCUCGUUGUAUAAUUUAAGCAAAUUUUGCAGUUGUUGCUUGUUUUGUGAAUACACACUAAUUGUGUAUAUUGAGUUCGUGCUGAUUGGUUUUUCGUGAGAUUGCUUGUUUUUAUUGGUUUUUUGGCACACUUUGUGAUUGACCUAAAGAAGUCAUACUUCUUGCUCUUCUCCUUCAAUUGUUUUGCUUAUUCUGUGCAUGAAGGAAUUCAUCCUAAAUGAUGAGUAAUUCAAGUAAAAGCUAUGGAUUUUAACAUCCAAAUGAAGCAUUUUGUCAUAGUUACUCUGAUAGAUUGAUGAGAUUCCUUUGUAGCUCUAUUUUUUUGUUACAUCCUUCAUUAGGUCUAAUUGUUUUUGUGGUACGUCCCUUAUUAGCUCCAUUAUUUUGGGGUACAUCCUUUAUUAGCUCUAUGUUAUCACAACUACUGGUCUAAACAAAUUGUUUUAUGUGGUGUAUUUUAAAUGGCAGCCCGGUGCACUAAGCUACUUCUACGCGCGGGGUCCGGGGAAGGGCCGGACCACUAGGGUCUAUUGUACGCAAGCUUACCCUGCAUUUCUGAAAGUGGCUCUUUUAAUUGGUGUAUUUUAUGCUUUAUUUUAUCAAGUUCUAUUAUGUGUUAUCCUAGAGUUUUUUUUCCUUGAUGAAGAGUUUAUAAGGUUGUAGAUAACCAGAGAUACAAUGCCUGGUCUUUUCUAAACUGUUGCUGUUUACUUGGAUUUUAAGGAAGCAUUUUACCUCCCAAAAUUUGUCAGUAAGUUUUCAUGAAGAUUAUAAAACACUAGUUAAGUGACAUAAGCAUGGUUUUCUAUUGUCUUGAAAGGGUCUUAACAUUAUUGAAUUUGAGAACAAUUGUAUGUUUAAUGCAAAAAGAGAAUUGCAAAUAAGGCAACUUUGCCGAGGGGAUCUGUUUUUGUUGAUUCCCUCUUUUCCCUGUUGCCAAUAUUUUAAUUGGACAAGCUUGGAACAAUUUUAGUUGAUGAACUAUACGUUUCUGACUUCAGCUGAUUCUAGCUUGGCUACAUUCUUUAUCUCUCUUUUGAUCUGAUAAAUUUAGUACUUCGCAUAUUCUUUAUAUAAAUGUCAAAAGUUUUUUCUUUUUUGGUUUCUUAAACUUCGUGGCCAGUCCAACACACUUCUUUUGUGGUUAUGUUUGUAAUCCCUGCAUUCAAAAGUAUUGUGUGAUUUUCUUUUGUAAUUACGUUUAUAUUCAUUCCUUGAACCGAGGGUUUAUCGGAAAUAACCUCUCCAGUCUCCACUUUCCCAAAGGUAGGGGUAAGGUUGUGUGCACAUGACCCUCCCAGGCACCACGUGUGAGAUUAUAAUGGGUUUGUUGUUGUAAUUACGUUUGUAUUCCUGUUUAGUACUAUGUGAUUUUCUUUUGUGAUUAAUUUUGUAAUCCCUUUGUUCAAGAGUACUAUGAAAUUCCUUUUCCUUUUG